GGGGAAGGCAAGCGCCUCUGAGCGUCUGCAGAGCGCCGCCCGCCAGCCGGGGGAGGAGCGCUUGCAGGCGGCGGUCGCACCUCGGCCGUGCCGGAGACUGCAGACAGAAGGCAGGAAGGAGAGAGUGCCAGGUAAACCAUCUGUCUUCAUUAUGGCCUAGAAUAGAUGCCAAGAUGGUUUCCUGCUUUCCCCCCCUCCCAAAUGGAAGAAUAUGCGAGUUGGGGGGGGGGGAAGGACCCACUUUGAUCCGAAGACAUCGCGACUCUGGAUUUUGCCACCAGGGGACAAUCAGCAAAGAAGGAGGUUGGAUGAACAAAAAGGAAUAAAAGAAUCUGGAAAAAGAAAAAGGCGUCCUUAAAUUCCAACAUUAAAAGAUUGGCGCAAGAGAAGAUAAAAAGGGUCUGGAAAACCGAGCCUCCCGUAAAAGAGUUCUAUCUAUCUCCAUUCUUAAUUAAAUAACUCAUUACUUAAUAAAGUCAACCGAUGAUUUA